ensembl:lncRNA
GCUUUACAUAAAGCAUAUCAGCUGUUUCAAAGUCCCAACCAUUUGUCUUCCUAAAAUACUGGUCCUUCCGUAUAACAAUAACCUCGUAUGUGAUUGGAGGACCCUUAGACUCCUCGUCCAAUCACGUGUGAGGUCAUAGGCAUGACUCAGACAGCAGUACUUGCAAGACGAGCAUACAAACAGACACGUGUGUUACUAUAUUCAGAAGAACUGUAUCUCCAGUUCCUUUGUUUGGUUUUUGCUGGUUCGUGAAUAAUGGCGGGACGACGUCUCGCGUUCAACUCGCCUUCAACUCCUCUCCGCGGUCACCAACUUUCGGCCAGUCCGCAGACAGAUGAGAAGAAGCUGCUGAAUGAUCUCAGUGGAUCGUCUCGUCAACUCCAACAACAAACUGCCGAUAUCAACGAGCGGUUCGCUCCACUGGAGCGUUCGGGACUCUGCGGGUUUCUGUCCAUGGAGGAGAGGAACCGACUCAAAGAAGAGGAGACGGGCGCACAAUCCCACGAUAGGGAAGCGGUGCGCCGUCUUCACAACUCCGAGACGAACUACAGGCGCCACGAACCGGAGCAAGGGUAAGAUUUAAAGAAUAUGCUUUCAUUCUGCGGGAUAAGGAAAUAUACACGUAUAGAUACGAUCAUAACUGUACAUUUAGUUUUCACAGACUAAUCUCGCCUCAUAAUGAGCCGGUGACCUCGUAUUUGCUCCGGGAAAAGUCCAGAUUUAGACGACGUCAUUGUGUGUAAGUGACACUGUUUCUCCUUCCUUGUUAAAUGUUACUGUGACUUGCGUUUGAUUUUCUUUUUGUAUUCAUACCACUCAUUUAAGAGUGAGACGUAUUUUGAGACGGGACGCAGGAGCUUCAGGUUCAGGCGGAACACUCAUUGCGGAGUUCAGCGCGGAGUCGAGCGAGAAGAAAGAGGGUCAGAGUUUAUUUGCUGACUUGUUUCAGGUGCAUUGAUCGAUGUGUUGUGUCCGUACGCAUCGCACAGUACUGAUUCAUUGUUGUUUUUACAGCUGCUGGAAUCGAGACAAAGUGUGCUGGCUGAUGACGAGGUGGAACGCUGGAACUCCGCCACCGUAGAGCUCACGUCGGGCGGAGGGGACGGCGUUGUUGGCGGGGUCUCAGGUGGAUUGUACGGUCGCCACACACACACGAGCCGCCUGCACAACAGACCUGCCUCGGAAAACACGGCGCCAGUGACGGUCUACAACCCCGAGGAGGCAAACGGACAGUUUACUGAGCUGUAGUUUUUAAACCGCCGUUACCCAAGUGUGGGCAGAUCCUCACUUUGUAUGUAGUUGUUGUUUGUGUGUUGUUAAUAAAGCUCUUUCUUUGCAUAAACAUGUGGCAAAUGUUCAUUUUCAAAAUGCGCGUUCAACUCGCCUUCAACUCCUCUCCGCGGUCACCAACUUUCGGCCAGUCCGCAGACAGACGAGAAGAAGCUGCUGAUGCUCUCAGUGGAUCGUCUCGUCAACUCCAACAACAAACUGCCGAUAUCAACGAGCGGUUCGCUCCACUGGAGCAGUCGGGACUCUGCGGGUUUCUGUUCAUGGAGGAGAGGAACCGACUCAAAGAAGAGGAGACGGGCGCACAAUCCCAAGAUAGCGGUAAGAAUACGUUUGAUGACUGCUAGCUAAGCUAAAAGUAGCGUAGCCUCAAGCUAAGCUAAGAGUAGCCUAGUAGCCUUACAAGUGAGCAGAAACAGCUUUAUUAAAGUGUGUUUUCUUUGCCGUGUCGUUUACAGGAAGCGCUGCGCCGUCUUCACAACUCCGAGACGAACUACAAGCGCUACGAACCGGAGAAAGGGUCAGAUGUAAAGAAUAUGCUUUCAUCCUGCGGUAUAAGGGAAUAUAUACGUAAAGAUACCAUAGGAUGGAUACCGAUCAUAACUGUACAUUUUGUUUUCACAGACUAAUCGCGCCUCAUAAUGAGGCGGUGACCUCGUAUUUGCUCCGGGAAAAGUCCAGAUUUAGACGACGUCAUUGUGUGUAAGUAACGCCGUUUACUGUUUCUCCUUCCUUGUUAAAUGUUACUGUGACUUGCGUUUGAUUUUUUUUGUAUUCAUAUCACACUCAUUUAAUUGUUUUCCAGCUCCCUGUGAGACGUAUUUUGAGACGGAACGCAGGAGCUUCAGGUUUUCCAGCCGGAACACUCAUUGCAGAGUUCAGCGCGGAGUCGAGCGAGAAGAAAGCAGGUCAGAGUUUAUUUGCUGACUUUUUCAGGUGCAUUGAUCGAUGUGUUGUGUCCGUACGCAUCGCACAGUACUGAUUCAUUGUUGUUUUUACAGCUGCUGGAAUCGAGACAAAGUGUGCUGGCUGAUGACGAGGUGGAACGCUGGAAAUCCGCCACCGUAGAGCUCACGUCGGGCGGAGGGGACGGCGUUGUUGGCGGGGUCUCGGGGUGGAUUGUACGGUCGCCACACGCACACGAGCCGCCUGCACAACAGACCUGCCUCGGAAAACACGGCGCCAGUGACGGUCAACAACCCCGAGGAGGCAAACGGACAGUUUACUGAGCUGUAGUUUUUAAACCGCCGUUACCCAAGUGUGGGCAGAUCCUCACUUUGUAUGUAGUUGUUGUUUGUGUGUUGUUAAUAAAGCUCUUUCUUUGCAUAAACAUGUGGCAAAUGUUCAUUUUCUCUAUAAAUUCAUUGAUGUCCUGGUUGGUAUCCUAAUAAUAGUGUAGUAGCCUACAUAGGAUAACCAUGAAAUGAAUAUACAGCAUAAUAUGAAUAUAUAAAUAAAAUGAGGUGACCAAUAGCGACAGAUCUGCCAACCAAUCACGAGUGAUUGAAAGUUGUUUUCAUCCAAUCAUGAACAAGGAAACUCGAGCCUGGUCUGCCCACGUGUGGUUUUGCUGCCAAUAACGAGUGAUUUUAUUUGUUCGUAAGUUGUGGUUUCAUCCAAUAAGGAGUAAGGAUAUUCAAGCCCGCUUGGCUCGGCCACCCGCGGUUUUGCUGCAUUCAUAUGCUAAUUCGGGCCAUUCGCAACUCCGCCAGCUCUCCACCUACGUCAUGGUUCGUUUCCGACAAUUUGUGGCACAGACAAACGCGACGUGCGCGGGUUGCAAAUUGUCGCCCCCCCCCGUAUGGCAUAAGCUAACAACAACCCGUGUCUUAACACUAGCAUAGCGGCUAACACGUGUGAUGUUACUAGAUGUUACUGGUUACUGUUAAGGUAAAGAACUCCAUCACCCAGCAUUCCCUAGUCAGUGGUGAGGGACAUGCGCAGAGCGGAGCGCGGCAGACCCCGGGUAGCAUUACAGCGGACAGUGCUAGUUGACAUUAAAAGUUCAUGAAACGUAUAUCACGCCUCGUCUGCUUCUUAUAAGAUUGAACAAGUUACAACAUGGUGUCAGAAGUGGCCGUGAGCAGCUAAUGAAGAUAGAUUUGCCACGGGAGAACGACGAGAAAAAGAGAGAAAAAAAAAGAAAUCUCCGGUCGCGUGAGGUAACGUGCUAACAAGUCAACAUGCUAAAAGAGUUUACUAAUUCGUGUGAUGGCUACAAGUGGCAGCGGAAGUGAAGCGGGAGAUGAAGGACAGAUCGAACAUGUAGAAGAGGAUCUUGUGCCUGAAGCAGAGGACAACCGGCAACGCGAGAGGGCUGGGGAAGUCCCUGUACCCCGACUUUCAGUAAUGGAGAGGCUAAGUCCACCUACUUCCAUGCAACUGACUGGUAAUCUUGCUCAUAAUUGGAAGCGUUUUAAGCAACGAUUCAAUAUAUAUUUAGCAGCAAGUGGAGCAGGGGCUGAUGAUGAAAAACUGAAAGCUCACAAUCUUUUGCAUGUUAUGGGAGAAGAUGCUUUGGACAUAUAUAAUAGCUUUCAGUUGGAUGAAGCUACUAUGACCUUAGCAGAAUUAAUGAUAAAGUUUGAAGAGUACUUUGUGCCUAGCCAGAACGUGACGUUUGAGAGGUACAAGUUUUUCACCCAUGACCAGAAGCAAGGAAUACAUUUCGAUCAGUACUUAGCAGAGCUUCACACAUUAAGCAAAACAUGUGAAUUUGGCAUCCUGAGAGAUUCUCUAGUGAGAGACAGGAUAGUUUGUGACACAGUGGAUAAUGCACUCAGAGAGAGACUGCUCAUAGAGGCUGGACUUACACUGGAAAAGUGUAUCACUAUGUGCAGAGCAGCAGAAACAACUCUAGCACAAGCAAAAGAGCUUCGGAGAGGUGAAACUACAGUGCAUGCAGUACAUAAAGAACAGAGAAAUAAGAAAACAUUUACUAAACAAAAAGACCAGAAAGAGAAAUCUGCAGAAUUCAAAUGUGGUAAAUGUGGAGGCAGCCACAAGCCAAAAUCAUGUCCUGCGUAUGGAAAAUCCUGUAACAACUGUGGAAGGAGCAAUCACUAUGCAAAAUGUUGCAAGUCAGCUUUUAAGCAGAAGGUUCACGCAGUUGGUGAGGAAGAAGAGGAUGAUGGGGAGUUCCUUGUGGAUGUGGUGCAGGCUCGGACUGAUGAAAAAGAGGAAUGGAUUGUGCCAAUCGAAGUGAACAAGACGGUAAUACCAUUCAAGCUAGAUACAGGUGCCCAUGUAAACCUGUUAUCUUAUGAGGAUUACAAGACAUUGGCAGUGAAAAGCAAAAUUCAUCCAAUAAAAACAAAAGUGACAGGAUACACUGGAGAAAGGGUUCCUGUUAAAGGCAGAUGCAUCGCAACCUUCAAAUACAGAGACCAGCAGAUAAGAGCAUUGCUACUGAUUGUGGAUACGAGUGCACAACCAAUCCUGGGACUCAAGGCAUGUACAACCUGGUCAAAAGAGUGUUUGUAGUGACAUCAGAAACUGCCAAUGAUCAUGACUCACUGAUGGAGGAGUAUAAAGACUGCUUCGAAGGACUUGGAUGUCUACCCGGAGAACACAAAAUAUGCAUAGACAAAAGUGUGUCUCCUGUUGUGCAUCCUUGUAGUAAAGUUCCUUUUUGCAUUGCGUGGAAAACUGAAAGAGGAACUUGCGCGCAUGGAAAAACUAAAGGUCAUCAAGAAAAUACAUGAGCCAACUGAAUGGGUCAGCUCGCUGGUUGUAGUACAAAAGAAAACCGGUGCUCUGAGAACGUGCUUGGACCCAAGAGACUUAAACAAAGCGAUCAAAAGAGAGCACUUUUAAGUUACCAACCAGAGAAGAAAUCAUGACACAGUUUGCUGGAGCUAAAUGGUUCAGCAAACUAGACGCUUCAUCAGGUUUCUGGCAGCUGAGGCUGGACGAGGAGAGUUUGAAGCUGUGCACAUUCAACACACCUGAGGGCAGGUACAGGUUUCUUCGUCUGCCGCAUGGUAUCCGGUCAGCGCCUGAAGUCUACCAUAAGACUAUUCAUAUGAUCUUUGAGCACAUACCAGGAGUGGAGACAAUGAUGGAUGACGUCAUAGUCUGGGGGUCGACUCGAGAAGAACACGACGAAAGACUGAGACAAGUCCUAGACAAGACAAGGGAAGUGAAUCUGAAGCUUAAACCUCUGGUGUCCAUCAUGUCCAAACCUCUGAAUGACUGUCCUGUACGGAUACAGCGCAUGCUAAUCAGGCUGCAAAAAUAUGACAUACACAUGAUAUACACACAAGGGAAAUACAUGUACACCGCCGACACCUUGUCUAGAGCAGUGGAUAAGGGGGAGCGUGCGGACAGCGAAGACACUGCAGAAAUCCAGGCGUAUGUGGAUAUGAUUGUGUUGAAUCUGCCGGUAACAGCUGACAGAACAGAACAAAUACGCAGAGAGACAAAUGCAGAUGAAACGAUGACAGAACUCAAACGCACAAUACAGACAGGAUGGCCUGAAAACAAAAGGGAUUGCCCCACAAAAAUACAAGACUACUGGAACUGUAGAUCUGAGCUCAGUGUGGUGGAUGACUUAGUGUUGAAGGGGAGCAAGUUUGUUAUUCCAUCAUCGUUACGUAAACAAAUGCUCCAAAAGAUACACAAAGGCCACCUCGGAGAAGUCAAGUGUAAACGGCGGGCAAGAGAAGUAAUGUACUGGCCGAGAUUCAAUCAAGAUAUCAGCCAGACAACAGCGUCGUGUGAGCUAUGUCGCAUCUACAGGCCAAAACAACAAGCUGAGCCGCUGAUGACUCAUCCGGUGCCCCACAGACCGUACUACAAGGUUGGUACUGAUCUAUUUGACUGUGAUGGAAAGAGUUAUAUAGUGGUCACUGACUACUUUUCAAAUUAUCCAGAAGUUGGAGCGCUGCAGUCAACAUCAAGCAAAGCAGUCAUCAGCUACCUCAAGACUGUCUUUGCCAGGCAUGGAGUGCCAUGUGAACUGUUUUCAGACAAUGGGCCCCAGUUUUCCAGCUGUGAGUUUGCUGCCUUUGCCAGGGAAUGGGGGUUUCAACACUCAACAUCGAGUCCAACCUAUCCAUGGUUGAUGAAUCAAACUCACCUACAGCCACUGAUCAGACCAGUUCAGCUGAAAUGACUCCUCAUACUCCAGCUGUAAAACAACCAGAGGUCUUCAUCACAACAUCGUCACAUGAUGCUCCUCACAAUGAAUCAGAAUCAACUGCUCAAGUCAUAAACCCUGUUCUCAGUGAUCCAUCUGACGACAUAUUGACAGCAGAGUCCAGUGACAUCAUCUUUACAUCAUCGGUGAGACAACAAGAGGUCAUAAACUCCAAUGAACCAGAACUGUCAACUAAAUCCACUUUCCUCCCAUCACAUGAUGCUUCUCUCAAAGUAUUUCUUCCUCAGUAGAAAAUACUGUUGCCAGUAAUCUACCUGAUGUUCUAUUACACGAAUCUCAUGCAAACUGACAAAGUGUGAUAAAAACGAAAGGAGAAAAAUGAAGAGAUGAAUGAUGAUCUCAGUGAAAACUCAACAAAGAAAAGAGAUUCAGAAAAGGGAAAAAUAUGCUUCAAAUAAAGCAUAUAAAGCAGACAAGAUAUCUCACGCAAAAAGGCAAUACCAGAACAACCCUGAAUUUAGACAAAAGAAAAUAAAUAAUACAAGAGCCAACGUUGACUUGAAGCAAAAACGGAAAGAGUACAUUUACUCCCGGUACAGAAAAGAUGCUGAUUUUAGACAGAAAAAAAAACAGAUCUUUGUCUCUCGUUACAGAAAUAAUCCUGAUUUUAGAGAGAAACAAAAACAGCACUUUGUGGGCCGCUACCAAGAGAAUGCUGAGUUUAGAAAGGAAAAAAAGCUGUACUUCACUGCCUUUUACAAAAACAGCAUUGAUUUUAGAGAAAGGUAGAGAUCUCACAUUAUUCAGCGUUACGCUGAAUGUGACCAGGCAUUCAGGCUAAGACACAAACAACUAAUGAAACAACGAAUGAAAGACAGAUACAAAAACAAUCCUACAUAUCGGAGUAUGCAGAACAUGAGAUGUGCCAUGAAAAUAAAAAGGAAAUACAGAGGGAUAAAUAAACCAACAGAAGAAAGUGACAACAGUUUGAUCAAAGAGGCCAUAUCUGUUUUCAGGUCACAAAUAAAGUCCGGUCCCACUUAUGUUUGCACCGUCUGUCACAAAGCAUAAUUUCCAAACCAAGUGAGACCCUGUAAAAGGUUAAACUAUCUAUGAAAUCCAGACGUGGUUGCAGCAUGCCUGACAGGAAAGUACGUCCAUGUGUGUGAUGACGAGUGCACAGAUGAACAACAGUGCAAUGUGCCUGAUGAGAGAAAGGAAGAGUGGAUCUGUCACACCUGCCACAAUCAUCUUAAAGAUGGAGUCAUGCCAAAACUCGCUGUAGCCAACAACUUGGAGCUCGCUGACAUUCCACCUGAACUGUGUGACCUCAACAUAUUGGAGAGACAUCUCAUAGCCAAGUGCAUAGCGUUUGCAAAGAUCAAUCCUCUUCCUAAAGGACGACAGAGAGCGAUACAUGGCAACGUGGUUUGUGUCCCGUCUGAGGUGCAGGAAACAGUGGAAGCGUUACCCAGACUGAGAAGUGAGUCUCAAGUGAUGAGAGUAAAGCUGAAGAGACAAUUGUGUUACAGAGGACAUCAGCUGUUCCAGACUGUCACCUGGUCUAAACUAGUGCAGGCGCUGCAUAAAUUCAAACGCAUUCAUCCACAAUAUCAGGACAUUACUAUCAGAGAUGAGGCUGAGCUUUGUGACCCAACACUUCCUGAUGAAGAUGAGGAUGAUGAUGAUGAUGAUGCCACUAUGGAUGACAACGACUAUGAUGAUGCUGAUUUAAAGGAAAUUGACAUGUGUGAGAUAAGUGCACUGUGUGAGACAGAAACUGAGCUUGAUGGAGAGCAGGAUGUUGACAUGUUGUCUUGUGAUGGUGAACAACCAAAGGAGCAGAGAGAUGAUGAAGAACAGGAAGGUGACAUGCCUAACGGUGGUUUUGCUCUAGAAUCAUGUCUUCAGCCGUGUGAUGUUUCAUGAUGUUUCAUGAGAUGUGUGCAUCUCUUCUACAAGGCCACCAGACAUCCAGGCGACCUGAAAUCGGACUAAGUAUCUCUU